GAGGCCGAAAGGCGUAGUCGAUGGGAAACGGGUUAAUAUUCCCGUACUUGGUGUUACUGCGAAGGGGGGACGGAGAAGGCUAUGUUGGCCGGGCGACGGUUGUCCCGGUUUAAGCGUGUAGGUGUGUGUUCCAGGUAAAUCCGGUUCACUUUAACACUGAGGCGUGACGACGAGGCACUACGGUGCUGAAGCAACAAAUGCCCUGCUUCCAGGAAAAGCCUCUAAGCAUCAGGUAACAUCAAAUCGUACCCCAAACCGACACAGGUGGUCAGGUAGAGAAUACCAAGGCGCUUGAGAGAACUCGGGUGAAGGAACUAGGCAAAAUGGUGCCGUAACUUCGGGAGAAGGCACGCUGACACGUAGGUGAAGUGAUUUACUCAUGGAGCUGAAGUCAGUCGAAGAUACCAGCUGGCUGCAACUGUUUAUUAAAAACACAGCACUGUGCAAACACGAAAGUGGACGUAUACGGUGUGACGCCUGCCCGGUGCCGGAAGGUUAAUUGAUGGGGUCAGCGCAAGCGAAGCUCCUGAUCGAAGCCCCGGUAAACGGCGGCCGUAACUAUAACGGUCCUAAGGUAGCGAAAUUCCUUGUCGGGUAAGUUCCGACCUGCACGAAUGGCGUAAUGAUGGCCAGGCUGUCUCCACCCGAGACUCAGUGAAAUUGAACUCGCUGUGAAGAUGCAGUGUACCCGCGGCAAGACGGAAAGACCCCGUGAACCUUUACUAUAGCUUGACACUGAACAUUGAGCCUUGAUGUGUAGGAUAGGUGGGAGGCUUUGAAGUGUGGACGCCAGUCUGCAUGGAGCCGACCUUGAAAUACCACCCUUUAAUGUUUGAUGUUCUAACGUGGACCCGUAAUCCGGGUUGCGGACAGUGUCUGGUGGGUAGUUUGACUGGGGCGGUCUCCUCCUAAAGAGUAACGGAGGAGCACGAAGGUUGGCUAAUCCUGGUCGGACAUCAGGAGGUUAGUGCAAUGGCAUAAGCCAGCUUGACUGCGAGCGUGACGGCGCGAGCAGGUGCGAAAGCAGGUCAUAGUGAUCCGGUGGUUCUGAAUGGAAGGGCCAUCGCUCAACGGAUAAAAGGUACUCCGGGGAUAACAGGCUGAUACCGCCCAAGAGUUCAUAUCGACGGCGGUGUUUGGCACCUCGAUGUCGGCUCAUCACAUCCUGGGGCUGAAGUAGGUCCCAAGGGUAUGGCUGUUCGCCAUUUAAAGUGGUACGCGAGCUGGGUUUAGAACGUCGUGAGACAGUUCGGUCCCUAUCUGCCGUGGGCGCUGGAGAACUGAGGGGGGCUGCUCCUAGUACGAGAGGACCGGAGUGGACGCAUCACUGGUGUUCGGGUUGUCAUGCCAAUGGCACUGCCCGGUAGCUAAAUGCGGAAGAGAUAAGUGCUGAAAGCAUCUAAGCACGAAACUUGCCCCGA
rnacentral:rRNA from 1 species